AAUUUUGCGCAAUGGGCGAAAGCCUGACGCAGCAACGCCGCGUGAAUGAUUAAGCCCUUCGGGGUGUAAAGUUCUGUCAGUGGGGACGAAACUUGACGGUACCCACAGAGGAAGCACCGGCUAACUCCGUGCCAGCAGCCGCGGUAAUACGGAGGGUGCAAGCGUUGUCCGGAAUCAUUGGGCGUAAAGAGUUCGUAGGCGGUAUGUUAAGUCUGGUGUUAAAGCCCGAAGCUCAACUUCGGUUCGGCACUGGAUACUGGCAAACUUGAAUUUGGUAGAGGUAAAGGGAAUUCCUGGUGUAGCGGUGAAAUGCGUAGAUAUCAGGAGGAACAUCGGUGGCGAAAGCGCUUUACUGGGCCAAUAUUGACGCUGAGGAACGAAAGCCGGGGUAGCAAAUGGG
rnacentral:rRNA from 1 species